AUUGAACGCUGGCGGCAUGCUUUACACAUGCAAGUCGAACGGCAGCGCGGGCUUCGGCCUGGCGGCGAGUGGCGAACGGGUGAGUAAUGCAUCGGAACGUGCCCAGUAGUGGGGGAUAGCCCGGCGAAAGCCGGAUUAAUACCGCAUACGACCUGAGGGUGAAAGCGGGGGACCGAAAGGCCUCGCGCUAUUGGAGCGGCCGAUGUCGGAUUAGCUAGUUGGUGGGGUAAAGGCUUACCAAGGCGACGAUCCGUAGCUGGUCUGAGAGGACGACCAGCCACACUGGGACUGAGACACGGCCCAGACUCCUACGGGAGGCAGCAGUGGGGAAUUUUGGACAAUGGGGGCAACCCUGAUCCAGCCAUGCCGCGUGCGGGAAGAAGGCCUUCGGGUUGUAAACCGCUUUUGCUCGGGAAGAAAUCCUCUGGGCUAAUACCCCGGGGGAUGACGGUACCGGAAGAAUAAGCACCGGCUAACUACGUG
rnacentral:rRNA from 1 species